UACGUAGGGUGCGAGCGUUGCCCGGAUUUAUUGGGCGUAAAGGGCGCGUAGGCGGUGAGAUGCGUCCGUUGUGAAAUCGCCCGGCUCAACUGGGCGGGGUCAGCGGAUACGGUCUCACUUGAGCAAGCUAGGGGGCAAUGGAAUUCCCGGUGUAGUGGUGGAAUGCGUAGAUAUCGGGAGGAACACCAGUGGCGAAGGCGGUUGCCUGGGGCUUUGCUGACGCUGAGGCGCGAAAGCGUGGGGAGCGAUCCGGAUUAGAUACCCGGGUAGUCCACGCCGUAAACGAUGUCGACUAGGUGUCGGGGGUAUCGACCCCCUCGGCGCCGCAGCUAACGCAUUAAGUCGACCGCCUGGGGACUACGGCCGCAAGGCUAAA
rnacentral:rRNA from 1 species